UACCAGCACCCCGAGUGGUCGGGACGUUUAUUGGGCGUAAAGAGCUCGUAGGCGGUCUGUCGCGUCGGCUGUGAAAACCCGGGGCUCAACCCCGGGCCUGCAGUCGAUACGGGCAGACUAGAGUGCGGUAGGGGAGACUGGAAUUCCUGGUGUAGCGGUGAAAUGCGCAGAUAUCAGGAGGAACACCGGUGGCGAAGGCGGGUCUCUGGGCCGUAACUGACGCUGAGGAGCGAAAGCGUGGGGAGCGAACAGG
rnacentral:rRNA from 1 species